CCUGCCCCUAAAGGGGUUGCAGGUGUAGCUGCUGUGUCACAUGUGUGUCAGAAGAUGACAGAGAGGAGAGAGGCUACAUCUAAUUUCAGUGCUCUGACCUAUGAACAUCUGAAUGAUUAGAAGUCUAGCAUU